GCUGCUCUGCUGAAACUAGUUGCUGCUGUUCUAUGAUCUCUUGCUGCCUUUGUCGUUGGUGCCAUGGCGGAAGAGAUCGAAUUGGUUGUGCAGAAAUAACUCGCUGUGACGCUGAUGAUGGGCCAUCCGCCCGGAUCUGCUGCUGCUGCUCAGCUGUUCGCUCGAUAAUUACGUGCUGCCUUUGUUGUUGAUGUCGUGGCAGGGGCGACCGAAUUGGAUUUGCAGAAUUAACUCGCUGCGUUUUUGUGGAUGGGCUAUCAGCCCGGCUCUGAUGCUGUUGCUCAGUGUUCCCCUUCUGCCUUUGUCGUUUGUGUCCUGGCAGAGGAAAACUAAUUGGCAGGCUAUGUUGUUGCUGUUGCCAUGGCUGGAGGGGCUGUCCUGUUGAGAUAAGUUGCUGCUGCUCUAUGAUGUGAAAUGUUGGUGUGGCUUCUGCUGGGCUCUGCUGCUGCCGCUCCAUGUUUCUCGGCUGUGUAAAUCUUUGUAUCAGAUGCUGUUUUUGUUUUUGGUGUCGUGGCAUGGGCGACCGAAUUGGCUCUGAAGAUGUUACUGGCUGCUGCUCAUUGUUUCCCGGUAACCCUUGUCGUUGAUGCUCUGGCAGCGGGAAUCUCAUUGGCAGGCUUUGUUGUUGUUGUUGCCAUGGCUGAAGGGGCCAGAUUGGAGGCAUGCCGAACAUGGCUAUGGUCAGCUCAGAGGCUCGCUUCUGCUGACAAACUUCGUGCUGCAUUUGCUCGCCUGCUAGUGUAUAUUGCUGCCUUGUCUGCUGUGGCCUGAAAAGUUCGUGUUGGAUUGUCGACACGGGGUGGUGAAGCCGCAGCGCG